ACGCUGGCGGCGUGCUUAACACAUGCAAGUCGAACGAAAAUACCAAGCUUGCUUGGUUGAUUAGUGGCGAACGGGUGAGUAACACGUGAGUAACCUGCCCCUUACUUUCCUGGAUAACUGCUCGAAAGGGUAGCUAAUACGGGAUAUUCUGACCAUCCUGCAUGGGUUGGUUUGGAAAGGUUGUUUUUCUGGUAAGGGAUGGGCUCGCGGCCUAUCAGCUUGUUGGUGGGGUGAUGGCCUACCAAGGCUUUGACGGGUAGCCGGCCUGAGAGGGUGGACGGUCACACUGGGACUGAGAUACGGCCCAGACUCCUACGGGAGGCAGCAGUGGGGAAUAUUGCACAAUGGGCGCAAGCCUGAUGCAGCGACGCCGCGUGAGGGAUGAAGGCCUUCGGGUUGUAAACCUCUUUCGUCAGGGAACAAGGCACUGCUUUGGUGGUGUUGAGGGUACCUGGAUAAGAAGCGCCGGCUAACUACGUGCCAGCAGCCGCGGUAAUACGUAGGGCGCAAGCGUUGUCCGGAAUUAUUGGGCGUAAAGAGCUCGUAGGCGGCUGGUCGCGUCUGUCGUGAAAACUUCCGGCUCAACCGGGGGCUUGCGGUGGGUACGGGCCGGCUAGAGUGCGGUAGGGGUAACUGGAACUCCCGGUGUAGCGGUGGAAUGCGCAGAUAUCAGGAAGAACACCGAUGGCGAAGGCAGGUUACUGGGCCGUUACUGACGCUGAGGAGCGAAAGCGUGGGGAGCGAACAGGAUUAGAUACCCUGGUAGUCCACGCCGUAAACGUUGGGCACUAGGUGUGAGGCUCCUUUCCGGGGGUUUUGCGCCGUAGCUAACGCAUUAAGUGCCCCGCCUGGGGAGUACGGCCGCAAGGCUAAAACUCAAAGGAAUUGACGGGGGCCCGCA
rnacentral:rRNA from 1 species